rnacentral:lncRNA from 1 species
AAACUACAGAUGCUGCCGAGCUGCCAGCCAUGUCGAGAAAGGACUCUUUUGGGGAGCUCCUGACGAACCUCCCCCGCAUCGCUUCACUACCGCAGUUCCUUUUCAAGAUACCAGAGGAUACUGAGAACUGAAACCUGGAAGUCAAGACCUGGCUCCGCAUUCCCUGAAGUAGGGAGGUCACUGUAAAGAUUGUACCCCAGCAAUAAGAAAAGCCCCCUUAGCCAGGUCUUGACUGAGAACUGAAACCUGGAAGUCAAGACCUGACUCCGCAUUCCCUGAAGUAGGGAGGUCACUGUAAAGAUUGUACCCAAGCAAUAAGAAAAGCCACCGUAGCUCUCCUCCUUCAGAGGUGAGUUCCCCGCCCUGUAAAUGUGACACCCGGUAGGUUGCUCCAAUUGUCUGUAUGUUUCGUGACUCAAAUGGGUAGUGGAAAAAUUAAAAUGUUCAUUGGUUCUUUUUAA